GAUGAAGAACGCAGCGAAAUGCGAUAAGUAAUGUGAAUUGCAGAAUUCCGUGAAUCAUCGAAUCUUUGAACGCACAUUGCGCCCUCUGGUAUUCCGGGGGGCAUGCCUGUCCGAGCGUCAUUGCAACCCUCAAGCCCGGCUUGUGUUGGAGCCCUGCGGCUGCCGCAGCCUCCUAAAAGCAGUGGCGGGCUCGCUAUCACACCGAGUGCAGUAGAUUACUCUUCGCUCAGGGCGUGCAGCGGGUUCCGGCCGUGAAACCCCCUACUUUUAAAGGUUGACCUCGGAUCAGGUAGGAAUACCCGCUGAACUUAAGCAUAUCAAUAAGCGGAGGA
rnacentral:misc_RNA from 1 species